UCUCAUAACCCAUGCGCACUAGGGACCGUGCAGUGUAGGUGUCGGUAAAUAGCAAAUGCCUGGAUAUCUCUCCCUCCACACAUAUGUCAUGCUGCCUGAAUAUCAGGAUGAGUAUCAUACCGUAGGGCAAGGAGACUCUCGAUUUGCAUAUGGCCUCUCGCAUCUGCCUAAUCAUCAUAGCUGGAAGAUUCAGGGGAAUGCCUUGAAUGAC
rnacentral:lncRNA from 1 species